rnacentral:lncRNA from 1 species
CCCACACAUCAGCAAGUGCAGAUACACACAUCAGCAGGAGCAAAAACACACAGAGGAUAUUCACAGAGCACAUAAGUAAACGGUAUAGACUUUUUGUGUGACAAAUUGCUCUAUGAGAAAGUAAUCCUUCAAGAUUAACAGUGUCAUUCUCUGCCACACCUUGUAUAUUAUGCUCAGGGAGCAGCGAUCUCAGCCGCAGGCUUCUUGCAAAUGGCUUACCAGGCGUCUGCUAACUGCUUUGCACUGAGAAGCCAAACACGCAAGAGAGAGACUAAACUGAAAGGAGGACAGGGCAAACAAUCAAGAGGGACAGUUAGAGGAGGGAAACAAGCAGGAAAGCAGUGAAAAGAGAGAACAAACAACAAAGUAACAGUGGUGGCAAAAGUGAGUAAUCUGUAAUCGGAGCGAUGUGGAGGAGUGCAGUGCAGCUAAUGCGACUAGACCCUGCUGUUCUCCGAGGAAGACAGUGCUGGAGGGGAGGAAGAAGACGAGGAGAAGGAGAGGCAGAGGGAUGAGCAGGAAGAAGAACACACACAGAGGCUGUUGGGGGAUCGCUUGCUCCAAACAUAGCAGAAGGGGCCCGAUCCCUUCUCGCCUCCAGGCCUGUUUCUCAGCCCCGUUAAGGAGGUGGGGAUUAGAGGUCAGGAACACUGCCAUGUCCUCUGCCCGCAUUGAUCGCUGUUUCACAAAGUACUCCAGCUCAUGCAUUUUGUACAUCGCCUGUGUGCUCCUCAUUUGCAAAGGCUACAGUCACGACGGUGGUCCGAAAGCGUGACAGACAUGCAGGGUGAAGAACACAGCGGUCAUCCACUGCCCUCUCUUCGCUCCAGUCACCUCGAUGACCGAUACACACCGGUGUACAGCUCUCUACCCAACUACUCUGCACCACCUGUCUCAUGUCUGUGCUGUGAGGGCCAGAGUUGAAUGCUCACAAUAUGAGCUCAUCAGUAUACCUAACACUUUCUGUUAGCACAGGUGCAAGCAAAGUCCUAAAUAUGAAUAAAAACAUCACUUUUUUUAAUGCCAUAGAACAAAACAUUGGUUGCAGAGAAGAUUGUCUGUGACAGAAGUUGAGAGUCUGUCAUUUCUGCAGGUCAAAGAGAAAUAUCAGCAAAAGUACCUCGAAAACAGAAAAGAUUUCUCUUCUUUUAUUCUCAUCUAUCUAGGUGGUACGCACAAUGUGAUGCCCAAGUCAUAAAACACAAAAUUCAUGAGAAUAUUUCAAUAAUAUACUGGAUUUCUUGCAUUAU